UACGUAGGGGGCAAGCGUUGUCCGGAAUCAUUGGGCGUAAAGCGCGUGUAGGCGGUUCGGUAAGUCUGCUGUGAAAGUCCAGGGCUCAACCCUGGGAUGCCGGUGGAUACUGUCGGACUAGAGUACGGAAGAGGCGAGUGGAAUUCCCGGUGUAGCGGUGAAAUGCGCAGAUAUCGGGAGGAACACCAAUUGCGAAGGCAGCUCGCUGGGACGUCACUGACACUGAUGGACGAAAGCUAGGGGAGCGAAAGGG
rnacentral:rRNA from 1 species